rnacentral:rRNA from 1 species
AUACGAAGGGUACAAGCGUUAUUCGGAGUUACUGGGCGUAAAGAGCGUGUAGGCGGUUGAUUAAGUUAGUUGUUAAAUACCUCGGCCUAACCGAGGAGGUGCGACUAAUACUGGUCGGCUAGAGUGUAAGAGAGAGAAGUAGAAUUCCCGGAGUAGCGGUAAAAUGCGUAGAUCUCGGGAGGAAUACCGAUGGCGAAGGCAGCUUCUUGGCUUAUAACUGACGCUAAAGCGCGAAAGCGUGGGUAGCAAACAGGAUUAGAUACCCUGGUAGUCCACGCCCUAAACGAUGAUCACUAGACGUGGGUUCGAGUUAUUCGGAUCUGUGUCGUAGCUAACGCGUUAAGUGAUCCGCCUGGGGAGUACGGUCGCAAGAUUAAA